CCCCCCCCCCCCUCCCCCCAGCUCGUCUCCGUCUUCAGACCGCCUCCCGGGCCUAUGGACUGCGAGCCGGCCGCCGAAGAAUGGCCACCGCUGCCCAGCCUGUGUCUCCUCGACGACUACCUGCCUAUGGAAUAUGAGCCGGCUGCUGACGAACGGCCGCCGCCGUCCACCUGGUCGCCCCCGUGUUUGAC